CCUACGGGAGGCAGCAGUGGGGGAUAUUGGACAAUGGGGGAAACCCUGAUCCAGCGACGCCGCGUGAGUGAAGAAGUAUUUCGGUAUGUAAAGCUCUAUCAGCCGGGAAGAAAGAAAUGACGGUACCUGAGUAAGAAGCCCAGGCUAACGACGGGCCAGCAGCCGCGGGAAUACGGAGGGGGCAAGCGUGAUCCGGAAUUACUGGGUGUAAAGGGAGCGUAGGCGGUAAUGCAAGUUGGGCGUGAAAGGCGGGGGCCCAACCCCCGGACUGCUCUUGAAACUGUGGAACUGGAGUGCAGGAGAGGCAGGCGGAAUGCCUAGUGUAGCGGUGAAAUGCGUAGAUAUUAGGAGGAACACCAGUGGCGAAGGCGGCCUGCUGGACUGUAACUGACGUUGAGGCUCGAAAGCGUGGGGAGCAAACAGGAUUAGAUACCCUGGUAGUC
rnacentral:rRNA from 1 species